rnacentral:rRNA from 1 species
UACGUAGGGUGCAAGCGUUAUCCGGAAUUAUUGGGCAUAAAGAGCUCGUAGGCGGUCCGUCGCGUCUGGUGUGAAAGUCCAUCGCUUAACGGUGGAUCUGCGCCGGGUACGGGCGGGCUGGAGUGCGGUAGGGGAGACUGGAAUUCCCGGUGUAACGGUGGAAUGUGUAGAUAUCAGGAAGAGCACCAAUGGCGAAGGCAGGUCUCUGGGCCGUUACUGACGCUGAGGAGCGAAAGCGUGGGGAGCGAAC